CAUAGGUUUGGUCCUGGCCUUUCUAUUAACUAGUAGCAAAAUUACACAUGCAAGCAUCCACGACCCGGUGAGAAUGCCCUCUAAGUCUUGUAAGACUAAAAGGAGCUGACAUCAAGCGCACUUCACAGUAGCUCAUAACGUCUUGCUCAACCACACCCUCACGGGAUACAGCAGUGAUAAAAAUUAAGCCAUGAACGAAAGUUCGACUAAGUUAUGCUACAGAGGAUUGGUAAAUUUCGUGCCAGCCACCGCGGUCAUACGAUUAAUCCAAAUUAAUAGACUACGGCGUAAAGCGUGUUUAUGAUGAGCCUCAAAUAAAGUCAAAUAUAGCCCAAGCUGUAAAACGCUACAGGCCCACUAAGAACAAUUACGAAAGUAACUUUACAAACUCAGACUACACGAUAAUUAAGACCCAAACUGGGAUUAGAUACCCCACUAUGCUUAAUUGUAAACCUAGGUAAUUCCCUAACAAAAUUACCCGCCAGAGAACUACGCGCCACAGCCUAAAACUCAAAGGACUUGGCGGUGCUUUAUAUCCAUCUAGAGGAGCCUGUCCCAUAAUCGAUAAACCCCGAUACACCCCACCAUCUCUUGCCAAUUCAGCCUAUAUACCGCCAUCUUCAGCAAACCCUGAAAAGGACGCUAAGUAAGCCCAAUCAUUCACCAUAAAAAAGUUAGGUCAAGGUGUAGCCCAUGGGAUGGAAGGGCAUGGGCUACAUUUUCUAACUAAGAGCACUACGCUAACUCAUAUGAAACCUGUGAGUCCAAGGAGGAUUUAGCAGUAAACUGGAAAUAGAGAGUCCCGUUGAAUAAGGCCAUAAAGCACGCACACACCGCCCGUCACCCUCCUCAACCACUUCUAACCUUACUACAUAAAACUAAACAUGCCUGCAUAGAGGAGAUAAGUCGUAACAAGGUAAGCGUACUGGAAAGUGCGCUUGGAAUGAGC
rnacentral:ncRNA from 1 species